GAGGGUAUAGUGCAGUGGUAGAGUGCAUGCCUAGCAAGCAUGAGGUCCUGGGUUCAAUCCCCAGCACCUACA
rnacentral:tRNA from 1 species